UACGUAGGGUGCGAGCGUUGUUCGGAAUUACUGGGCGUAAAGGGCGCGUAGGCGGCCGAUCAAGUUAGAUGUGAAAGUCCUGGGCUUAACCUGGGGGACUGCAUUUGAUACUGAUUGGCUUGAAUUCGGGAGAGGAUAGCGGAAUUCCCAGUGUAGAGGUGAAAUUCGUAGAUAUUGGGAAGAACACCGGUGGCGAAGGCGGCUAUCUGGACCGACAUUGACGCUGAGGCGCGAAAGCGUGGGGAGCAAACAGG
rnacentral:rRNA from 1 species